rnacentral:tRNA from 1 species
GGCCGAGUGGCAGAAUGGUUUAUGCAGAGGAUUGCAAAUCCUUUUAUGUCGGUUCGAUUCCGGUCUCGGCCU